CACCGUCAGGUGCCUUUCCUUCGCACGGAUCCCUCGGUGGAGGAAGUGGGGGAACGAGGCCGUUUCGUGUAAGACUUCGGGACAGGCCUGGGCAACCUUGGGCCCUUCCUCCAGGUGUUUUGGACUUCAACGCCGAGACCCUAUUUUUUUAAGACUGACUUUGCAUCUCCUGAUUUAUUUAUUUUUUUCGUGUCAGGAGCAACUUGAGUUGCUUCUUGAGUGAGAGAAUUGGCCGUCUGCCCAGGGGACGCCUGGAUGUUUUGAUGUUUUUACCAUCCUUGUGGGAGGCUUCUCUCAUGUCCCCGCAUGGAGUUGGAGCUUAUAGAGGGAGCUCAUCCGCACUCUCCCCGGGUGGGAUUCGAACCUGGCAGCUUUCAGGUCAGCAACCCAACCUUCAAGUCACGAGGCUUUAGUCCACUGCGCCAUUAUCUCCUGAUAAUUUGCAAGGAUUUGCAAGGCCUGCUAAACAGGCCGAUUUCCCAUGUGAUAAAGUACAUGCAACGUGCGGGGCUUGAUGAAUCCAAGCCUGGAGUUUAAACUGCUGGAAGAAAUAUUAACAACCUUAGAUAUGCAGAUGAUACCACUCUGAUGGCUGAGAGCGAGGAGGAACUUGGGAGCCUUAUGACCAUGGUGAAAGGAGGAAGUGCAAAAGCUGGGUUAAACAUCAAGAAAACCAAGAUUAUGGCAACCAGACUGAUUGAUUACUGGCAAAUAGAGGGAGAAACUGGGGAGGCAGUGACAAACUUUGGAUUUCUAGGCACAAAGAUCACUGCAGAUGCAGACUGCAGCCAGGAAAUCAGAACACAUUUAUUUCUUGGGAGGAGAGCAAUGACUAACCUUGAUAAAAUAGCGAAGAGUAGAGACAUCACACUGGCAAUGAAGGUCCGUAUAGUUAAAGCAAAGGUACUUCCAUAGUAAUCUAUGGAUGCGAGAGCCAGACCAUAAGGAAGGCUGAGCGAGGGAAGAUAGAUGCUUUUGAACUGUAAUGUUGGAGGAAAAUCCUGAGAGUGCCUUGGACCGCAAGAAGAUCCAACCAAGAAGAUCCAACCAGUCCCUACCCCAGGAAAUAAUGCCCGUCUGCUCACUGGAGGAAAGGUUAUUAGAGGCAAAGAUGAAGUACUUUGGCCCCAUAAAGAGAAGACAGGACAGCAUAGAGAAGAGAAUGAUGCCGGGGAAAAUGGAAGCAAAAAGGAAGAGGGGUUGACCAAGACCAAGAUGGAUGGGUGGUGUCCUUGAAGUGACUGGCUUGACCUUGAAGGAGCUGGGGGUGGCAACGGCUGACAGGGAGCUCUGUCAUGGGCUUGUCCAUGAGGUCACAAAGAGUUGGAAGCGACUGAACAAAUAAACAACAAAUUGUGUUGUCGAAGGCUUUCAUGGCUGGGAUCACAGGGUUGUUGUAUGUUUUACGGGCUGUAUGGGUUCUGGAACAUGGCCAUACAGCCCGGAAAACAUAAAACAACAAAUUCCUUAUGUAAUAUCCUAUGAAAUUCAUGAGGUUGGCAGAAGUGAGCAGGUUACUUUUAUUGUGUAUAUAUCUUAUCUAUACACAUCUAUCUAUACACAUAAUAUCUAUCUAUACACAUAAUAAAAGUAAUGUGCAUGUAUGUAUGUGGAGGUGUCCACUUACACAGACAACCUCCCACCUCCACAAACAGUUGUAGUUCCCACUGAGCAGGAGACACCAAUGGCCCUUCCGCCACUGACAUGCAGGUUAUAGUGAGCACCAUGAACAUGCAGCCCAAGCCCUGCCAAUGUCCCCAACAAACACAGUUCUGCCCCCCACCCAAGUGAAGGCUUUCAUUCGGGGACCUUUCAUCCUAGAUGUUCUGUUCUUCCUGCAAAACGUAUAUCCCAGGUUUCCUUAAUGUGCAUGAUCCCGCCCACUGCCUCUACCUUAACCCUUUCCUACCCCUUCCUAUGGCACACAGCAAACAGAGGAAUUGAUCAGCAACUGAAUAAGGUGUUUGGGGAGAAUUCACCAUGAUUUAUAAGUUGUACUUGACCUACAUCCAGAGAGCACUCUUAACCCAACCAACAAUUGAUCUGGACCAAACAUGCCAUGGAUAAUGGGACCUGCAGUACCUUCACUGAUACUGUGACCCCCACCAACAAUGGACUGGGACCAAACUUGGCACAGAGAAGCCCCAUGACCAACUGAACAUACUGCAGGGGUUUGGGGGAAUGGAUCUUGAUUUUGGGAGUCUAGAAAGCACUGAAGCCAAACCUGGCAUACAGACCUAACAUGGCCAACUGUGCGUACUGGCAAGAUUUGGGGAGUGAUUGCCCAGGGAAUCUGGGAAUUGUAAUUCUCCCUUAUCCAGACAGCACUGAACCCAGCCGACGAUGGAUGUGGACCAAACUUCAGUGAUAUGACCUAACAUCCCAAAACAAACAAUGCCUUCUUCUAAUAACCCGGGCACCGCCGGCUCCCCAAGCUAGUAGGAAAUAAAACAGACAAUCAAGAAAAAAGAUAUACAAAAUAAUAAGCAGGUUUACAAAAUAGUCUACAGCUAGCACUCGUUAAAUGUGUGAAAAAUUAAAAUUGGCAGUACAGUUAUUAUACCUUUAUAUAUCUUAUCCCUCUAACCCCACACCUGUGAACUCAACCCACAUGACCUGCAACACCCCUUAACAUGAAUCACAUAAAACUACCCAUAUGUCUUCUUUCACUAAAUCCCUUUGUAGCAAUAAUCAAAUCUACCUUUGGCUUCUAUCCCAGGUACCCAAAUGCCAGCCUACAUUUGUUUGCAAAUUCUUCAUUGUUUCCUCCUCCGCUACUAUUUGACAGCUUGGCAAUUUGGAUAUAAUCUACUAAGCAAUAUUGCAAAACAAUAUUGGCAAAUUUCUUCAUCUCCUAUACUAAUACACCUUAAAUAGUCCUAAUGAACAGCAUUCCUUGCGUAAUAUCCUAAUGACCCAAAUUCUCUGCUAAAAUCAUCUGUAAGAAAACCCCUUUCAUUUGCAAAACCCUUUCUAAUCUGUUGCAUCAGUGCUGUUGGGUCAAAUACCAUAUUUUUUUCCUCAGGCAGGCCACUUAUUCCUGCUUUCGAAAAAUAAGGAAAUGUAAGGUGAGAAGUAGUGAUCUUCCUGCAAUUUGUUUUAGUAUGCCUGCAUCACUUACUUGCCUUAGGGAGGGCAAGUAAUUUCUCUUUCUGUAUUCCCCAGAGAUUCUCUCCCUGUCUCUCAAAGAGAAGUUGCUUAGCCCACUGGAUUACAAUAAUGUGAACAUAAAUAAGAAGCAGUUUGAAACAUUCAAUCUAAUUCAUGAGUUUUUUUCUUCAAAAGCUAGAAGGGUGUUUCCCUUUAAAAAUAAAGUAAGGGAUCCUCAAUCUCCAGGCUUGGGGGCGGGUGGGUAAUUCUCCGUGCCUUCCUUGCUCUCUCCAUGACACCCCCAAUUCCUUAUUCCUUCUACAUCAACUUCUUGAGUGUGCACCUACUAGAUGAGAUAGAGAAAGGUGACAAGAUAGGUUAAGGAAACUCAGCAUGAUAAGGCUAUCGAUGGCUACUGUGAUCAUAAUACACAAGAGAAAAGGGAGACAUACUUCCAGAUGCUGGAAUAAGUCUUUAUUCACUUUAAAAAAAAACUUAUUUUGACAUAUGAAUAUUCUGUGGCCUUUUUCAAAUGAUGUAGAAGGAAUAGAAUAGUGCUUAAUCAAAUAAUAUUAUAAAUUCUUUUUGUUGUGUACCUUUAAGUCAACCCAAAGUUACAGUAUAACCCUGUGAUAGGGUGUCAAGAUUUAUUCAGGAGUUUUGUCAUUUUCCUCUAAAGCUGAUUGUGACUUGUGAAAGGCUUAGUAGAGAUUUAAACUCUGAUUUUCCAAGUCUUGUCCAGCAGUCAAACCAGCAACACACCAGGAGUGGAAAUUGUGCAGCAGUCCAGAUUUUGAUGGACUUCAACUCCCAGAAACCUUAACCAGCAAAGUCAGUCCUGAGGAAUACCGGGAAUUGCAGUUCAGCAAGAUGUGGAAAACCACCCAUUUCACACCUCUACUUUACGUGGAUCUAGAAACAAGUCAUAUAGCAGUAACAGCAGAUUGUAAGAUAGAAGUUUGGCUCAGAGCCACCAUUGCUAUUUCCUAGCAUUGUGAAUAUUUUCUUCUGGCACAACUCCUGUUCUUUUCAGCAGCUGCGUGACAGGAAGGAAUCCAGCAGCAUAAGCAUUUCCCAAGCAAGGAGUGAUGCAACAAUGAGAAAACAAUCUUGUGCUGACUUUAAAAAACACUAAGCAGGUACUGAGAAUGCAGCAGACUUCUGACAAUUAUUCCCUUGAGUAAUACUAUUAAUUUUCUGUCUCGUCUAUUUUAUUUUUCAUUUUUUGUAUUGUUUCUAUUUGCCCUUGUAUUUAUUCCUUGUGUAAUAGGUCUGGCUGAGAGAUACUGACUAGUCAAAAGCCAGUGAUCUUCCUGACUGCACGAGAAUAUAAACUUGAAACUUCUGACCCUAAUCCAAUACUCCAAUUAAUAAUUUUGUCUUUACUUGAGAUUGCCAAACAUUGCAUGUUGUAUAUUUAAUCAUUCAUUUAUGUGGCAUCACUUAGUAAUAGCAUGUCUGUUGGGGAGAUAAUUACAUUUAGAUGCAGCAAUUCAGAAGUUUCUUAUUGAAAUAAAACACAACACCUUCUUUAAACAAGCCAUUAAUAAUGUUAUUGACAAUAAAUAACGAUAGCUACA